rnacentral:lncRNA from 1 species
UGUUUGGGGGAUUCGGCCGCCGAAGGUGCCGCCGAAGGUGCUUGAGUUUCGUCUCUGGAAAGGACAUUCGGCCGCCGAACCUGCCGCCGAAAGUGUUCUGUCCAGCUUUUCUUUUGCAUGUUUUUGCAUGGCUAGGUAAGUGAGUUUCAGGGGAUUCUUGGGGAGUGUAAUAGAGGUAUUGCUAAGUUAGUCUGGUCCCUCAUUUGAAUCUUUAUGUGUUACAGACCAGAGGAACCAGAGAGAGCAGCAGUGAGUACUGCUCCAGAGGUAAACCUGCAGAGUCAGUCAGUCCAGAUAGCCAGAGGUGAGUGGAACUAAACUUAUGACUUUUAAUUGCACCACAACCUGUUUUUAGCAUAUCUCAUGCAUCAUGUUUAUGCCAUAGGUUGAUUGCAUUAGUAUUCACGACUAUGUUGCAUUGCAUUGUUAUUUGGUGAUGUGAGUGAAUGCUGAAUGAUCCAAUAGUCUCAGACAGGAAGUCCAGGAGCCUUUGACUACGCCCUGGCACGUAUAGCAAAGACCAGGAGCCUUUGACUACGCCCUGGCAGGUAUAUAG